GAUGAAGAACGCAGCGAAAUGCGAUAAGUAAUGUGAAUUGCAGAAUUCAGUGAAUCAUCGAAUCUUUGAACGCACAUUGCGCCCGCCAGUAUUCUGGCGGGCAUGCCUGUUCGAGCGUCAUUUCAACCAUCAAGCCCCCCGGCUUGUGUUGGGGACCUGCGGCUGCCGCAGGCCCUGAAAAGCAGUGGCAGGCUCGCUGUCACACCGAGCGUAGUAGAUCUCAUCUCGCUCAGGGCGUGCUGCGGGUUCCGGCCGUUAAACCACCUUCAUAACCCAAGGUUGACCUCGGAUCAGGUAGGAAGACCCGCUGAACUUAAGCAUAUCAAUAAGCGGAGGA
rnacentral:misc_RNA from 1 species